rnacentral:rRNA from 1 species
AGAGUUUGAUCCUGGCUCAGGAUGAACGCUAGCUACAGGCUUAACACAUGCAAGUCGCGGGGCAGCAUGGGGGUUGCUUGCAAUCCCUGAUGGCGACCGGCGCACGGGUGAGUAACGCGUAUCCAACCUGCCCUUCACCACGGGAUAACCCGGCGAAAGUCGGACUAAUACCGUAUGUUGUCCAUUGACGGCAUCCGAUUUGGACGAAAGGCUUAGCGGUGAGGGAUGGGGAUGCGUCCGAUUAGCUCGACGGCGGGGUAACGGCCCACCGUGGCAACGAUCGGUAGGGGUUCUGAGAGGAAGGUCCCCCACACUGGAACUGAGACACGGUCCAGACUCCUACGGGAGGCAGCAGUGAGGAAUAUUGGUCAAUGGGCGGAAGCCUGAACCAGCCAAGUAGCGUGCAGGAUGACGGCCCUAUGGGUUGUAAACUGCUUUUAUGCGGGGAUAAAGGAGCCCACGUGUGGGCUUUUGCAGGUACCGCAUGAAUAAGGACCGGCUAAUUCCGUGCCAGCAGCCGCGGUAAUACGGAAGGUCCGGGCGUUAUCCGGAUUUAUUGGGUUUAAAGGGAGCGUAGGCCGCCCCUUAAGCGUGUUGUGAAAUGCGGGUGCUCAACAUCCGACUUGCAGCGCGAACUGGGGGGCUUGAGUGCGCCGAAAGUAGGCGGAAUUCGUGGUGUAGCGGUGAAAUGCUUAGAUAUCACGAAGAACUCCGAUUGCGAAGGCAGCUUACUGUAGCGCAACUGACGCUGAUGCUCGAAAGCGUGGGUAUCGAACAGGAUUAGAUACCCUGGUAGUCCACGCGGUAAACGAUGGAUGCUCGUUGUCGGCCUUUGAGGCCGGUGACCAAGCGAAAGCGUUAAGCAUCCCACCUGGGGAGUACGCCGGCAACGGUGAAACUCAAAGGAAUUGACGGGGGCCCG